AACGAACGCUGGCGGCAGGCCUAACACAUGCAAGUCGAGCGGAUGACGGGAGCUUGCUCCUUGAUUCAGCGGCGGACGGGUGAGUAAUGCCUAGGAAUCUGCCUGGUAGUGGGGGACAACGUUUCGAAAGGAACGCUAAUACCGCAUACGUCCUACGGGAGAAAGCAGGGGACCUUCGGGCCUUGCGCUAUCAGAUGAGCCUAGGUCGGAUUAGCUAGUUGGUGGGGUAAUGGCUCACCAAGGCGACGAUCCGUAACUGGUCUGAGAGGAUGAUCAGUCACACUGGAACUGAGACACGGUCCAGACUCCUACGGGAGGCAGCAGUGGGGAAUAUUGGACAAUGGGCGAAAGCCUGAUCCAGCCAUGCCGCGUGUGUGAAGAAGGUCUUCGGAUUGUAAAGCACUUUAAGUUGGGAGGAAGGGCAGUAAGUUAAUACCUUGCUGUUUUGACGUUACCGACAGAAUAAGCACCGGCUAACUCUGUGCCAGCAGCCGCCGUAAUAC
rnacentral:rRNA from 1 species